rnacentral:lncRNA from 1 species
CCUAGGUAAUCCUUAUCGGGAAAUGAAGCGAAUCUUUCUAUCUGGGUCGACGGUGGCCAGUCUGCACCAACUUCUUGCUUAUUGGCUGUAAAAGAAAUUGUCGGAGUAGCGCGCGUUAUACACUUCCUGAUUGACAGAUUAACCGAAGUAAGUUUGUGCCUUGGAAAUCUGGAACAUGGUCAGAAUUCCGAACUAGAAAAACAAAUGAAUUCAGUUUUGAUGGAGAGUUUACUGGAGAAUUUAUGGUCUUCAAAAUGCACUCUUUGAAUUCAGAAAAUACUCUUUUCUGGUCGGCAGGAACAACAGUAUCAGAAUUCAACUCAAAAAAGUACAUUUACUUCACUUGCCGACUCGAACAUGGCGGGAGAUGGUCUUUCUUCCACUGCGAAUAUGAUAUUCAUUGUAAUUUACGUAAUUUUGGGUAAGUUGUAUCGAGAAAAGAUGCAAACGUAAUAAGAAAACUUUAUAAUUAAAAAAUUUACAUUCUGGACCCUAAACCUGAUGCAGUGGCUGUCAUAAUUAAUGGCUA